rnacentral:lncRNA from 1 species
UCUUUCUUUUUUCUUUCUUUCUUUCUUAUAAAUAAAUAAAUAAAAUGUGUUUUAAAAAUACCCUGUUCCUAGACACAUCAUAACUAGCCUCAGAGACCACCAAAGAUCAAGAGAAGAUUUUAAAAGCAGCCAAGGUAAAAUAGCAAAUUACACACACAGUAUAGCAAUGAAGCAGACAGUUGACUUUCCAUUAAUAAAUAGAAUCCAGAAAAAAAUGGAAUAAAGUCUUAAAUGGUGUCAGAAAAAUUACUGACAAUCUAGAUUCACAGUCCAGGGAUAUUAAUUUUCUAGAAUGAGAACAAAAUACAAAUACUUUCAGUCAAAAAAAAAAAAGAAAAUAAAUAGCAUCCACUAAAGGAAAAUUUAAAGAACAUUCUUCAAGCAGAGAGAGAAGAUGGAAGUUCUGAUAAGAAGGAAUGGUGAAAAGUAAGCGAUUAGUAUGUGAGUAAAUCUGACAUAAUAUUAGUUUAUAAUACAAUAAUAAUAAUUCCAACUUUAGAAUAAUAGAGCAGAAAUAUGUUCAACACUAACACAAAAAUAUGAAUGGCUCACGAGAAUUAAAAUAUUCUAAUAUACUUGUAUGUUGGGAGGGAGUUAAAGAUACUAACAUGCCUGUGUGUGUGCAUGCAUGUGUGUAUGCACACUCUGGAAGAUAUCUUAGUUAUAUUAGUGUAUUUUAAUUUUGUUCUAUGAUCUGGUUUUUCUUCUAGCAUCAAUAUAUUUUCAAGUUUAAAUCAAAACAUCACGUUAAUGCUUUGAUAAAUUCAGAAAUUUCCAAUAAUCACUCUCUAGACUUUGCAGUGAAAGUAGCAGUACUGAAAAAAACAGAAAUUGCUUACAUAAAAUUAAUGAACAAAUAUCUUCAAUUUGGGCAUGACUAGCUACCCCAAAACAAUUUGAUUUUAUGAAAUACCUUUGAUAAUAUAUAAACAAUUUGUAUUUCCUCUGAAUUCUACUGUGAAUGACAGAUAGCCAAUCUCACCUUAAGAAAGAAGCUGUCAUAAUCUGUCCUGUACAGAAAAUGCUGAUACACUGGAAAAAAGAAAGUCCUGUAUUACUAAUACAAUCUUCUAGUUUAUUAUUAUUAAAAGUAAAAUAAAAAAUAUUCUAGACAAUUUGUUAUUUCCCAUGCAGUUGCAUUAUGUUCAUAGUCAAAUGUUUGAAGCAUGUAUUAUAUAAUAUAAAGGUAUAUAUAUAUAUAUAUAUAUAUAUAUACACAUAUAUAUAUAUAUAUAUACACACACAUAUAUAUAUAUAUAUGUCUUUUAACAUUACCAUUGAUUUUUUUGUGGCAGUAAAUAAUUUAGGUAUAUUUUAUAGUAUUCCAUUUCAGCACAGGAUUAUUUGCCUUUUGGAAGUAACUUCAGUCCAUAUUACUUAGCUUUGCUUCACCUAUGAAUGCAUAGACUAGUUUGUUACAAAGGUCUAUUUCUAAUUUUUCCAUCAUAUAUAAAGGUUGACAACAUUCAAAAGAUUCUGUCUGCUACUAAAUUAUAAACUCACUGGCUGGACCACAGUUUGCUACUGCAAGUUGGCCACACCAUAUAACAAAGAUAUUCAAAAGAAAACUGCAGCUAUAAGAAAAUGAGUACAUGGAGAAAAAUCUUUAAAGAUAAUAGUCUUUAAAGUCAUGUGGGUAUUCUUUGAGCAAAGAUAGUUUGAGGAACAAAUAUGUUGUUAUUUUGCAUUACUUUUCUUGCCUAUACUUAAUAGUACUAUUUAUAUAUAUAUUUUAAAAAAUCAGUGUAUCUCUGGGUUAUUUAGUUACUUCCAAGGAGACAAUAAUGUUUUUUUCUGGAGUUUGAAAAUUCAUAUGCUCUUAAACCACAAAUUCCUCUGUCUCCCCUGAUAUCUCCAUCAGUUUUUUCAUAUCUACUUUGAUGUACUGUGCUCAACUGCUGUGGCCAACCAUACCCUCAGCCUCACUAGGAUUUCUGUAUUUUUCCUCUAUUUUUAAUUCUAUAGCUUCCCCAUAAUGGGAAGGAUAGCUACAAUUGGAGACUGAUCUUUUAAAAUGGUAGUAGUCUUUUUGGGAUUCUUAUUUCAAAUAAACUCAUUUCUCAGUGGAAAUAUUACCUCUCAAUCAUUAGGGUUGGACAUAAAGGAGGUAGUAUUUAAAAAGAUCUCACUAUAGAUUCCAAAAAAUUUGGUCUGCAGAAGUCUAUAACAACAGUAAGUCAAAUUAUAGCAAGCAUUUGGUAUUUGGCCACAGCAAGGCAUUUAGUCUAUGAACUUUAUGUUUUUAAACUUGUGGAUGGAACACAUUGAUGAAGGGAGUCAAGACAGUAGAGGUGGUAAUCAGAUGAUAAAGAAAUCAAGAAAGAGCUGUAUUGGUUUUAGGAUUUUAUAACAUCCUUCAAGACCCAGAUGUCUUAUAAUGUCUUGUAAUGGCCUUUGCCUUCUGACUGUCCAUUUACUAGUGAUAUGACCUUAUAUUUCAAGAUAGGUUUUUAACAGAUCUGAUUUUUUAUCACAAUAAGUUGAUGAAUUUUCUGAAAGGUUAAUUAACACUGGAAGCUGUUGACUUAUCCUUGUAUGCCUAUCACCAACUGGAAACACACAUAUACUGAAAGCACUGGGCUCAUUAGUGGUUUAUUAGGAUUAUAUUUGGCUGAUUAUUGCUCAUAUAUACUGAGGAAAAUUAUCACAGAGGUGUACCUGAGAAGAGAUAUACAUGAAAUAAGAUAUUCAAUUAAGUGAAAAGUAAUUAAACAAAGAUAACUUUCUCUGUAUUGUCAUCUAUUUUCUUUUUAUAAAUAUUAUUUUGGCAAAAUUUAUUUUAUUUGAUAUUUCACAUAAGAGGGCACUUUCAGUGUAAUUUAAAUUAUAUAUGAUUUAGUUGUGUUUACUUUCAUUUUGGGAUGAUUAUCUUCUUUCUGAGGCACUAUUAUGUACAAUAUACUUUAUAUUUAUAUACUUCUGUUCUUUAUUGUGAUUAAAUAUUUUGAAUGACAUUACAAAUCAUUAUGUUAGCACAGAAAUUUAAAGAAUUAAAAAAACAAUUGAUGGAAUCAUUUUAUUUUCAACAACUUCCAAUAUUCAAGCUUCAAAUAUUCAGAUAUUACAGAUAUUUAAAUAUAUAUAUCAUACAUUUAUAAAUAUAUAACAUAAUUAUUUAGGUUGUCAUAAUAAUAAAUUUCUAUUAUGCUUAAAUUUUAUAAAUGCAAAAAAGUGUUUGUUUAUACUUUGUGUAAAGUGAAAACAUAUGUUGGAAAAAUCUCAAGGUAAUGCUAAUUGACCAAGCAGUCUACAAAGAGAUAGCAACCCUAGAAACAAUUACAAAUUUGUAAUGGUAAUGGAAGGAUUUUCAGAAUAACCAAAUCUCAGGAUGAAAAAUAUCUGUACAUUGACUUUCUGAAAAACACAGUCCUUUGUUAAUGAUAUCUCUGUGAAUACACAUUCAACACAUCCCUAACUUUUGGAUAAAUAAAUUUCUUCAGUCACAUGAAUGUCAGGCAUUACUAUAUUUUAUGUUAAAUAAUAAUAAUAAUUGUGUACUUUUGGUAUUAUUCCCAAGCAAUUUUCUUCAUAGGCAGAGAAGCAGCUUUAAGAAUCAAAUCAAACCACACUACAUCAUUCAGUGAAAUUUACAGCAGAUAAGUAACACAGAAACAUGAGAGAAAAUGAAAGACAGAAAAAUUACUUUUCUCAAAAAAAAUCUAUGCUCAUCUGAAUCUUAAAUCAUGUAUUCUUUUCCCUUUGUAUCAUUCUUGAUAGGGUUCUUAGAGAAAAAAAAUGGGUUAAAGUGACUGAGCUUCACUGUCAAGAGAAACCUAUGGUCAGGGAUAUAUCGAAUUCCCAAAGCUUUCAUUAUUAAUAUUUUAUGAGUCUCACUGAUCUGUCCUAUCUAGAAGAAAAAUUUAUCUUUCAUUUGUGCAAGAACUGCCUGCCGAGUAAUAGAUUUCGUGUCCAUAAGCCGGGUGGCAAAAUGCAAACAGCAGCAAAGGUAGGAGGAAGCAAAGUGUUCACUUUAUUUCUUUUACUCGAGUCUGGCUGCACUUUACUGGAGUUGCAGAGUCAGCCAAGCAAAAUGAAAGAUCUUUGGGGAACUCUGAAAGACUGUCAGCUCUGGGCCAACAUACUUUGGCCGGCACACGUGAAUGCCCAUAUGUUUAAGCUGACUUCUAAAGGUGAUGAUUUGCUACGGUGACUUUUUUUGUUGUUAAUGUAACUUAAACGUUUACAAGAAAGUUUGGUGCCUACAACGUUGGCAACUCAUUUACUCAAUAGUGAAAACUGUCUUCCUUACUGAUGAGAUGACUAAACGCAAAUUGAUGAUCCUCGAACACUUUGGACUGAAAAGGCAAGAGUUUUUGCCUCUUGGUAGGGUGUGGCUUGCCUCAGCUGAGCUAAGAUGCCAUGUAGGCUCAUCUAUGACACCGGAGCUGAGUAUUUCCUGGACAGUAUUCAUCUACAGAAAAGUAAAACAGAGAAGGGAGGUCCAGGACACUCUGUCACAACACAUUGGGUGUCUGCCUGUUAGGUCCCCUGAGACCACAGAUCCGUCUGGAUUCAUAGGAAGUUGGAGGAUGAUUCCUCCAUGUGGUAGAAAAAAUAAUUUCUGGAGAAGUGUAUUUAGUGUAAAGUCAGGAAAACAAACAAACAGACAACGAGAAAAAUAAUCUCCUGAUUUGGGGGAGGUUGGUGGGGGAUGGGGUAACUGAGUGAUGGGCAAUGAGGAGAGCACUUAAUGGGAUGAGCACUGGCUGUUAUACCAUGUGUUGGCAAAUUGAAUUUAAAUUUAAAAAAAUGUAAAAAAAAAAGAAAAGUAAUAAAAUAUACAUUGUAUACCAAAAAACCCUCCUGAUUUUGAAUGUUUUCCUUUGCUUGAAAAUAAAGAUUUCAAAACUACAUGAAAGAACUGAGAUUCUUUUCUUCAGAGCUCUUACCUCAAUUUCUAAUUACAUAUUAACUAGUAGGAUUAUUUAACAUCUUUCAGAUCUCUUAGAAUAAAAAUUAAACCCUGUUCAUUUUGGUGCACAAUGGUAUUCCCAGUGUCUUGUACACUGUUGGCAGGCAAUAGGUGUUCAGUAAGUUUUUCUAAAAGAUUUGCAUAUUUUUCAUUUUCAUCAGUGCCUACUAGCAUGUUUUACAUAAUAAUCCUUAAUGAUGUUUUCAGUGAGAGUAAUGAUUUAUUCAAACUGCAGCCACAGAUUAUAAAUUCACAUAAAGCACUAUGUUAGAAAUAAGUUGAUACUAAUUAGUCUAAGAUUAAUUUCUGGGGCUCAAAGAGUUGACCAUCUAGUUGAGGGAUAAAGUAUAUGUGCAAGAAUUAUAUAAAAUGUGAAUUAUUAGUGACAAAAGAACAUAUUAGCUGUAAUUGUUUUUUUGUCUUUUUAAUUUAAAAUUUUUUUAUUAGCUGUAAUUGUAAAUAGGUAUCAGACACACAGAAAUGAAGGCACGUUCCUGAUAAAGAGAACUCUAUGAGUAAAUACUUUGGAAUCAAAAGGAUAUAAACCACAAAUCAUAAAAGGUGUGGUUUAGGGUGAUACAGCUUAGCAUGACCAAUAAGAAAACACCACUCUGGUCUAUAAGAGCCAUCUAAACCUCCUUCUCUCAUUGGUUUGUUUAGUUUUUAUAGUAGGAGCAAACAUGAUUCCCAUGAACUGAAAGGAUCCGUAAUUCAACACUCAUACUAAUAUGAUAUUACCAGAACUGUGUGAGAAUGUUUCUUUUCUCAAACUCCAGCUGGUAUCUUGUUUUUAUCUGAUCUCCUCUUGUGAUUUAAUCAUCUUUUGAUAUCUUUAUUCUCUCUUCUUUAUAUUUCAAUUCUCUUCUUAUUCUCAUUUUCCCUAAUUUGUUUGCCUAACUCCUUGGCAUCCUCCCCCAAACUCUAUAAAUGGGAGUGGAAUAAUUAGUUAUUUUUGGAGAAAAGUAGUCAUUUGUAGAUACUCCCUAGCUGAGUAAAAUUGUUGCUUGUUGUUACCCAUCAGUGCAUUUACUAUACCAAUAGUUUCAACAAAUGAUUUUUUUCCCAUUAAAAUUAUUUCAAGCACAUUUCUGAAUAAUUUUAACUAAUUCAGUACUUGUUUAAACCUUUGUUUUCCCAAUAACUCAUAAGUCCUAUUAAGCUAUACCCAUCUUAGUUAAAUUUGAUGUCAGUUUGUUUUAAAAAAAGUAUUAUUUUAACAAAAACAAUGCACUAUGCAGUAUGUGAAAUGAAUAAUCUAUUUUAAACAGUAAUAUAACAACUACAUGUUAAAUAAGCAAAUACAGCACCCUUAUGGGGAAGAUUUUCUGGACUUCCUUGACUUUAAAAUCAAGUAGAUUUCUUUAAAGCUAAUAUCAAACUAAUUAAAUUUAUUACAUUUUAUAUGUAUAAAAGAUUGUUCUUUAUAUUCCCUAGACCUUGAAAAUUCUCUGAACUUGGUGAUUCCAUAAUAAUAUAUUUCUGAAACUAUGUAAAAUCUCUCACUAAUUGUUUAUGUUCAUAUCCAUGAAGGUUAUUUGGUGUCUUUGUGUAGAUAUAACUCACCAGUAAUUCCCCUCUUCUUUUUCUAUUCAAAACAUCAAUCAUUUGGAUUUAGUUUUUAAACCUAUUCACUUUUUUCCUCAUAAUUUCUAUUACUAUAAUUUCUAUUAAUCAUGGCUUUUUAUUUUUAAGGGUCAUAUUUUAUUAAAAAAACAAAUAGUGGUUUUUGUUGUUCAUUUGCUUGUUGAUUCCCACCCCCCCCUUUUUUAGAAUCAUUUCACAAUAGUUACACCUUAUUCAAAGACCAGGGGAACUUUUUAAAAGCUAAAUUGAAGUUUUAAAACUAGGGACUUGACUAGGUAUAGUCCUCUAAUGACUCUUUUUGUCUAUGAGCCUCAAAGUAUUUAAAAUUUGUGUUUUAAAAAAAAUAAACCAAAACCACAACAACAACAACAAAAAGUUACUAGAUGAUGUAGACUUUCAUAGUCUUUCAGUUACUACUGAAAAAUGCGGAAUGUUAAAUUCACAAAUUCCAAAGAGGAACCAUAUGGUCAAGCCCAGGAGAAGGGUAGGGAGUUCAUUGGGGAAUCUAGGGUGGAGAGAGGGGAAGUAACAUCUAAAAUCUCUCUUUUUGACACAAUGGCAUAUAACAAUGACCUUGAGGAAAGGUCAUAAAUUAAGGGAAGGCAUUUCCUGCAUUUUCUCAUCAUAACUUUGGGAGUCUUUUCUACUCCGAGUAUCCAGGCUCCAAGUAAUGUUCUACUUCUCACAGUAGCUACCCUUUGACUUUUCAGUCUAUCCCUAUUUAAAUGCUGUCUAUUGACCCUUCCGACCAAUUAGAUAAGUGAAUGUGGUAACCUAUUGCCAAAAUAAUGUCUGAAAAUGCAAAUGGGGUCAGGUCACUCUCGACUCUGAUCCUUUUAUUAGUUCCUCAUUGUCUAUUUGGUAAAUAAAUUUCCUAGCCAUAUGUUUUAUUCCCACAAGAAUUCUAUGCCUCAACCAAACUGAUUUAUCUGCCAUUUUCAAACACAUUUCAUGUGAGCUUUCAUGCUUCAGCGCUUUUGAACAUAUAUUCCAUUUUCCUAGAUAAAACUCUGAUCAAGUGUCACUGUGUUAGAGUGUCUGUAAGUCCUGCAGUGAUGUUGGUUACUCUCUUCUUGAGACUACGAUGAAAGGAGUUUGCCUCUUUCUGCAGACUUUCUGGGCAUGUCUAUAUUUCUGGGCAUCCUAAUGCUGUGAAGUCAAGGGCAGAAAUCAUAUGUCAUUUUUAUGUUUGGAAAUUCAUAGAUAUUCAAUAAUUACUAAGUGACAAAUGUAAUGAAUUAAUAUGGCAUUUUCUCACUAAUUGGAGUUUUUUAAAAAAAAACUUUUUAAUACAAUAGAUUUCCCCAGAAGACAGAAUUUUGAAUUCUGCGCACUGCUACUUAAGGAAGUAUUUUUGAUUUGGUGGGUCUUUCUGGACCUUUUAAAUAAUGCAUUGCUAUAGAUUUACUUAAAUGUAAGGACUUUUGAAAUCUAGAUUUUAACCUACAUUGCCUCACUUCUUUGCUUAGUCGUUAACUAAAACUUUGCUUAGAUGUUUUUAUAAGACAGAAGAGGCUCUAAGUAAAAAUAUACAUUUAAUUAACAGUGAGUAUUUUUAUAUCUAUAUAUUUUAGCUAUUAUUAGGAUUUGGGGAUCUAAAUUAUCCCCAAAUUGUAAUAUUCCCUCAUAAUAACUGAUACAUAAAUGCUAUAAUAAAUCUGCUAGAGAAAUAAUGUAAUCAACCCUAAAAACCUCAUCAGAGAGAUGAUAGCUCUCUCUUUCUGACCAUUCCUUCUAGUAGUUUGUGUAAAUAGUAUAAAUCCCUCCAAAAUCCAUAAAAUAUUUUGUUUCAUGCCAAAUAUAAUGUUCAAACUCUUCUUAUAACCUCUUUCAGUGAGAAAAAUAAACUUGGUGGUCUACCCAUAAUGAGAAAUAUUUUCCCUAGUAGUUUGCAUAAUAUUCAAUAAGGCUUACAUCUUAAUUAUACUUUAAAUUUUAUAGUGUCUUUUUUUAAACAGAUAUUGCCUGUAUUUAUUUAUUUAUUUAUUUAUUUAUUUAUUUAUUUAUUUUUAAAGAUUUUAUUUCUUUUCUUUUUAAGAUUUUAUUUUCUUUAUGUAUGAGAGACAGAGGGAGAGGCAGAGACAUAGGCAGAGGGAAGAGGC